CCUGAUUUCAUUUCAUUUCCGCCCCUCAGCUGUUCUUACUCCUCUCCUAAAAAAGCUCUCGCAACUGUCUCUGAGUCUCUCGCCUAGACUACCAUCGCUGCUCAGCUCUGUUCAUUGCUCAGUCUUCUCCCUUUGCCCCUCAGCUGUUCUCAGUCCAACGCUUCGAAUCCUCCAUUCGACGAUGGUUUCCUGAAUCCGUCUGCUGACGAGCCGAUCUUUGUUUCGUCGCCAAUCUACGCUUCUGAAGGCUCCUCCGAUCCGAAAGAUGAGAAGCCGUUCGUAGAUGCUUUUGCGACGUCUAAUGCACCAGUUCUGCCGCCGCCAUCGAAAAUGCAAGAGGAGGGAUUUGCUCUCAGGGAAUGGAGAAGGGAAAUGCUAGAAAGAUGUUUGAAAAACGUUGUGAUGGGAACAGCCGGCUUGGGAAAAUUUCAAAACUAGGCUUUGCUCCUAUACUAUGGUGUAUAAUUUUUCUACUACUUGUAACAUAUAUCCAUUCAGUCAUCAUGGCUCCUACUCUACCAAAAUUAACUGCUAGCGGUGCUUUAUUUGCAUGGUUGGGUGUUUUCGUUGCAACUUCUGGACUAGUUAUGUUUUAUAGGUGUAGCAGGUAUAACUCAUGAUCUUUUGUUGGCUAUACAUACAUUGAAGAGCAAUGCUUACAUUGUGGCAAUGGGAUGAAAUGACUAACUUAACCAUUUUACAUUUUUCAUUUUAUAAACUAGUUGUUAAGCAUUCAUCUGCUGUCAUUCUUUCUGUGUUCUUACUUCCAAUGUAAAAAAUUUGUUGUUGCUCACUCUCUAAAACAAUUCUUCGAUUAAUUUUCUUAUGUUUCAACUUAGAAAAAGAACAUUGCUUCCUUUUUUUUUUUAAGACAAAAAGUGGGUGUAUUUAUUUUAAAAUUUCUAUAAAGUCUCACCAAAAGAGGGACUGUAGGAAUAAAAGUGGAUGUAUUAUUUAUGCUAUGUGAACAAAUUAUGAACUUAUUAUUCAUACAUUUUUGCCCUAAUGAAAGAAUUCUCCUUUUAUUCUGUUUAACACCUUUCCCUUCCCUAGAUUUUCUGUCAUUUUACAGUGCCAGGUCUUGUGAAAUACAACUAAUUACACAUUUGGUGUGCAUAUUUGCUUCUCCGCACUCAAAGAGUAGUUGUAGAGCAUGUAGCAAACUCAGACCAAGCAGAUUCAGCAUUAAAGCAAAUUGAAAACGGAUACCAAGUUCAUGAAGAUGUGAAGACAGAGGAAGUGCAACAAGUGACAAAAGUGGCGCAACAAAUAACAAAGGAUUCCUAUCCUCCCUUCUCUUUAACAAAACAAAGAUCACUGACAGAUAAGCAGGAGGCAAGUAGUAAAAACAUAUGAGAAGAAAGAAGAAAGUAGCACAAAAGAUAUCUAAGGUAAGCUGAAUUGGAGGAAGGGAAGCAAGACAGAAAAUGAGGGAUCAAGAUUCGGUCACUUCUCACUUCCAUGGAGAACUGUUGUUACUCUACAACUUGAGAGUGGGAGGCCUUCCUCCUUUGUACAUAAUGUCUUGAAGAGGUUCUUAUUUGAAGAGACAGAUGAAUCAAUCAAAGGCUUGACUAAGCUGCCUAAUAGUGAAAAUGCCAAAUCUGCAGAAGGACAAUGGAAACACUGAUGAUGGAACAAGCUGCUUCCAUACUGCAAAUGUGUCCUGGGAACUUCUGUCUUUCCUGUUUAUACAUUUAGACUUAAGAGACUAAUAGAAAUGCCAUAUUUUGACUUGUUUUAAAUUUUCAAUUGUAUAUUGAUGAAUGAAUUAUCUUCAAGCAUAUGAAAUGUGUAUUUUAUGUUUUUCA